CCUGGUGGGCUGCCGUCUAUGGGGUCGCACAGAGUCGGACACGACUGAAGUGACUUAGCAGCAGCAGCUGGGCACCAGGUAAUUCUUCUGAAUUUCUUUCCAGCUCUGGGCAGCGCCAGGGACCCAGCAACCCAGGCUUGGAUCGCACCAAGGGCACCGCUGAGAGGAGGACAGGGACAGGUGCUGGCAUCCUGCUGAUUGCUGGACCAGGAGCCAGAGACCUCAGAUUCCAGUACAGGUCUUGUCACUAAUCAGGGUGGCAAUAUGGUGCUUAACCAGACAGCUUCGAUUGCUGCCCUCCUGGAGCCUGCAUUCCAGAGUGAGGAGGCGACAGAAGAAACAGGUUUCCAAGUGCUACUGAUGCUGCUGGACCAUAGUUUGAGACUGUACACCCCCAUCUGGACCCUAUUAAAAUGCAUCUCUUGACCAGUCACAGGAGGAGCCUGGGAUGGGGAGGAGAAGACCAAGGAGAGGAGAAGUCAAGACACGUUGACCUCAUAGGUACCAUGGAAAAGUGAAAAGAGGAAAGGAUAACAAAAUAUGGCUCAUUUGGCAGAGGUAACAAAAGAAAGCCAGCAGAAACUGCAGCUGGAUCCGUCUUGCAAUGCAGGGGAUGUGGGUUCGAUCCUGGGCUGGGGACCUAAGAUCCCACGUGUCAAGGAGCACCUGAACCUGCACACUGCAUCUACUGAGACUGCAUGCCACAACUGGAGAGUCUGUGCGCAGCAACGAGUAUCUCGAGUGCUGCAGCUAAGACCUGACACAGCCACAUAGACAAAUAAAUAAUUAAAAAAAGAGAAGACUCUGCAUCUGGGAGUAAGGGGAGAGCUUCCCCUUCCAUGACGGAGUGGAAGCCUAGAAUGUCAAAAUAAGGAGGGACCUCAGGGAUUGUCCUGACUCAUCUUCUCAAAGAAGAUGGACCCAAAGGUUGCUCUCUUGCACAGGACUCUUCAUCCCAGCACUGCCACUUUCUCUGCUCCAGGCUGGAAGCAGGGUGGGCAGAGCGUGUUGGGCAAUGUCGUGAGUUUCGCUGCAGCUCUCUCUGAAGCAGGGGUGACGUGACACUUUUGGAACCUCUGAGCUAGAGCAUCCCCUGGAUCGUGCUGAGACUUGGUCAGCUUGGGUGGACAGGGUGGUUGAGAGUUUCGCACUCCAACUAUGUGCUGGUGUCUAAAAGUCCAUUGUUUUAUGGAAGAGACUUGGAGAUAGGAGCUCAGGGGAAGACCAAACAGAGAAGACUCCAGGGUUAUUCCAGGGUUAAACAAGACAGGAAGUGGAAAGGACCACCAGGUAGGGCCUCAACCCAUGAUGCCUUCUACCAGGCUUCUUUAAGAACCAACCAGAAGAAAAACAUCUCAAGACAACCAAUAUCCUGUUCCAAAGAAUUAGAACAGAUUACCAGGAAUUUUGCACUUAAGAUCAUAUUUGUGGCAAAGGUAAGCCUAGGGUUCUUCUUAGAAUCAAGAGAUUGAGUGGAUUUUGGAGACAAUCUGACCUGAUGACUCCUUUCCAUGCAUUACUCGGAGGAGAUCAUUGGAGAGCUGAGUGUCAGUCAUUAUUCCGAGGCGCCUUCAGAGGGAGAUUCCACCCAGGUGCCCGACUCAGUGUCUCACAGUCUCUAUAGUUCAGAGUUCUUCCCAAUGUCUUACUUAAAAUUUCUCCUGCUUCAGCAUAAAUUGUUCUGUCUUCUCAGAGUGAGGGAGCUCUGCCAUGAGACAGAUGGCUUGAACUACAAAGAAAGUCUGCUAGCUGCUUCACUGGCCUGAUUCACAAGUUACUAUUAUGGAAUGGGCUUCCCUGGUAGCUUAGCAGUAAAGAACCCACCUGCCAAUGAGGGAGACACAG